GACGAACGCUGGCGGCGUGCUUAACACAUGCAAGUCGAACGGAAAGGCCCUGCUUUUGUGGGGUGCUCGAGUGGCGAACGGGUGAGUAACACGUGAGUAACCUGCCCUUGACUUUGGGAUAACUUCAGGAAACUGGGGCUAAUACCGGAUAGGAGCUCCUGCUGCAUGGUGGGGGUGGGAAAGUUUCGGCGGUUGGGGAUGGACUCGCGGCUUAUCAGCUUGUUGGUGGGGUGGUGGCUUACCAAGGCUUUGACGGGUAGCCGGCCUGAGAGGGUGACCGGCCACAUUGGGCCUGAGAUACGGCCCAGACUCCUACGGGAGGCAGCAGUGGGGAAUAUUGCACAAUGGGCGGAAGCCUGAUGCAGCAACGCCGCGUGCGGGAUGACGGCCUUCGGGUUGUAAACCGCUUUCGCCUGUGACGAAGCGUGAGUGACGGUAAUGGGUAAAGAAGCACCGGCUAACUACGUG
rnacentral:rRNA from 1 species